rnacentral:miRNA from 1 species
UAUAAAACAAAUAAUGAAUGUUUUUAUUCUUGCAAUGGUAAGAAUAUUUUCAUGAGGUGAAAGAUGGAAUGUUCCAUUCAACUCGGCUGUCGCCUCGUUGAAUGGAACAUUCCAUCUUUCACCUCAUGAAAAUAUUCUUACCAUUGCACGAAUAAAAACAUUCAUUAUUUGUAUAAUG